CAAAAAAACAUAAGGGUUCCUCCGCAAGGUUCAUUCAUGGAGGGUGAGUCAUGGUCUAAAAUCAAGUCGAAAGUCAUAGUCGAUGGACAACAAGUGAAUAAUCAUAUACUACCCCUUGUUGGUCUUGAUGGACGGAAGAAGCUCGGUUAGCCGAAAACUGAUUAUCGAUUCAGGAACGUAAGGUGCCCCUAUUUUUUCAGGGUAAGAAGGGGUAGAGAAAAUGUCUCAAGCCAAUGUUCGAGCACAAGGCGCUACAGCAUUGAAGUCACCCACGUCAUAUUCCUAGGGAAAGCUCGAAUGACCUUUAAACAAAAGGGUAUAUGUACCGGAAAUCGACAUAGGUGGGUAGGUAGUGAAUACCUAGG
rnacentral:rRNA from 1 species